GACAGAGGGUGCAAACGUUGUUCGGAAUUACUGGGCGUAAAGCGAGUGUAGGCGGUCUUGAAAGUCGGAUGUGAAAGCCCUGGGCUCAACCCAGGAAGUGCAUUCGAUACUCCAAGGCUAGAGUACUGGAGAGGUGGGUGGAAUUCUCGGUGUAGAGGUGAAAUUCGUAGAUAUCGAGAGAAACACCGGCGGCGAAGGCGGCCCACUGGACAGAUACUGACGCUGAGACUCGAAAGCGUGGGGAGCAAACAGG
rnacentral:rRNA from 1 species